CAAAUAACGGUCAGAGUUUCCUGUUUAAAUCUGCCCCGCUCUCUGUCCAGGCUGCACUUAAGAGACACAAUCCGCAGCCACCCGUGUCUGUGCAGUUACUGAGAACUGUCCCCUCAAACUCCUGGGGAAAUGAGGCUUUGGGUGUAUCUCGUUCUCACUGCAGCGUGUCUGGAAGGUGUCCGGUCCCAGACGCUGGUGGAGUCCGGAGGUGGAAUUCAGAAGCCUGGGGGAUCUCUCCGCCUCUCGUGCAAAGCCUCCGGCUUCAGCUUCAGCAGCUACGGCAUGAGCUGGGUCCGGCAGGCUCCCGGGAAGGGGCUGGAGUGGCUCGCCUACAUUUACAGCAGCAGCACAUACUACAGUGACUCGGUAAAAGGCCGGUUCACCAUCUCCAGGGAUGAUUCCAAGAGUGAGGUGUAUCUGCAAAUGACCGGGCUGAAGCCCGAGGACACCGCCCGCUAUUACUGUGCGACAGACACAGUGCGGGGAACCCCGACAGGGCUCGUACAAAAACCCGAGACGCAGAACCGCCCUUCCGCCAUGCGCCGCGCGGGGGCAGCACUUCCACAGAUAAUCCAGCUCUGGGCACAUGAACGGGAUCUGCAACCAGAGUGAAGAGCAAAUCAGUCCUCAGGUUUCAGAGCUCAAUAUCCAUCUAUAGAAUCAUAGAAUCCUGGGACUGGAAGGGACCUGGA